rnacentral:ncRNA from 1 species
GUGUUGUAUGAAAGAAAGAGAACGUUAACACUCCCCUUGGGCCUGACUACACCCGAAUGGUUAAGGUAUUGUCACCUAAGACAUCCAACCAUCAUUCUGG